UACGUAGGGUGCAAGCGUUUAAUCGGAAUUACUGGGCGUAAAGCGCACGUAGGCGGCUUUGUAAGUAAGAGGUGAAAGCCCAGAGCUCAACUCUGGAAUUGCCUUUUAGACUGCAUCGCUUGAAUCAUGGAGAGGUCAGUGGAAUUCCGAGUGUAGAGGUGAAAUUCGUAGAUAUUAGGAAGAACACCGGUGGCGAAGGCGGCCCACUGGUCCGGUACUGACGCUGAGGUGCGAAAGCGUGGGGAGCAAACAGG
rnacentral:rRNA from 1 species